UACGAAGGGGGCUAGCGUUGCUCGGAAUCACUGGGCGUAAAGGGUGCGUAGGCGGGUCUUUAAGUCAGGGGUGAAAUCCUGGAGCUCAACUCCAGAACUGCCUUUGAUACUGAAGAUCUUGAGUCCGGGAGAGGUGAGUGGGACUGCGAGUGUAGAGGUGAAAUUCGUAGAUAUUCGCAAGAACACCAGUGGCGAAGGCGGCUCACUGGCCCGGUACUGACGCUGAGGCACGAAAGCGUGGGGAGCAAACAGG
rnacentral:rRNA from 1 species